CCUACGACGUGAUGCGCGCCGCCUGGCACGCCGACCCCGCGCAGCGGCCCACGUUCGCCGCCACGCGCCGCACGCUCGCCGCCAUCCGCGACCAGGCGCUCGCCCAGGAGCACCCGUGAGCGGCGCGGGCGGUCGAGGGUAAAGAUAUAACAUAGACUACAUCCAUUCUCACACAGGAUUAGGUAAAGUGCUGUGAAGUUGAAAAUUGUAUUUUAAAAUAACCUAUAGUUAAGUACUAAAUUAUUUUGAUAUUAUGUUUAAAGACACUUCCUCAUGAAGUAUUUCUAAUCUAGUUUAGGUAGCGUGUAAAAUUGGUGUGUUAUAGUGGGAAAAUUGACCGAUUAUAGUAUUAUGCGUACUAUUGUUUUUAUCCUUAUUUGAGGCCUAAAUGCGUAACGAAUUAUUACGGUAAAGAUUCCACCCAUUAUGGACCGCGUUCGGUUGUUUGUCGGUACUAUGCUACUGUCUAGUCAAAUAAAGUUUGUAAUAGUGUUUGUAUCAUAAUUAUAAUUUCCACAGUAAACCGAUAAGACGACUGAUAACGUUAAAGCGAGAAACUACUGCAUGCACUUCAAGUAUACACCUUGCUAUAUGCGCAAAAAUGCAGAAGUUAUGUAUUUUUCGGAAGAUUUAAUAGCUACAAAAUGAUUAACUCUUAUAUUUAAUGUAACCCAGUGAUGAGUGUAGAUCCAUAAGUGUUUAGUUUUUCUGAUGAUUUUACACAAUUAGGUAAUUCAGUAAAGUGCAGUUUAGAGUGAGAAUACACUUGGAGAGCGCCGAGCGCGCGGCGCGAGCUGUAUGCAUUUUAGGAAAUGUGCGUUAGUGAUUAAUUGUAAUGUAAUGCAUUGGUUUGCACUUUGUCUUAGCUCGGUAAGAUAAUGCUUUAGACAUAAAGCGAAAAGUUGCAGCGGCCAACUUUCAGGUUGUGCUAUUAUAAAAUUGAUAGUAUAUGUACACAAAAGGUUGAUUUUGCGAUGUAUAAGAUAAAUGUAAUAGAGUUAUAUUGAUUAUGAGAUAAAUUAAACGGUGUAUUGUCCACGAUUUUGAAUCUCAUGUAGAGUGCUGUCAGUUUAUAACUAAAUGGAUAGUUUGUGAUAUGUUUUAUGUAAUAAUGUCUAAGCUGGUGCAUGUCUAUUACGAAUCCACCCGAACGCCAGUUUUAAUGUUUGCAGUGGCCAUAUUAUAUUACGUAUGAGUGUGAUUAGAUUGCUGGGAAUUAUUCAAUGUAUUUCCAUCUUGAAUUCAUUUCCGCGGCUAAUGUUCUGAAAGCUCAACACUACAUGGCAAAUUUGUUUCCAAAUAUACAAAUAAAUGCUAACGCGAAUAAGAAUAACGCGGUGAAAAUAUUGUAGCUGGUUUUGGCUGUCACGACGUCACACAAUGCGGUAAAAAAUUGAAUCGUAAAAUGUAACCUUCCGUUACGGUUUACGGUUCAAUUUGUAUUGGUUGAUGGUCAAUUAUAAUAAUUAAUGUCGGCCAACACUCAGUCGUCUCAGUAAUCAGUGUUGGACCAGAACCCAUAUGGAGACCUAAAACGCCAUGUUGUCCUGCGGUUAAACUAACUUCUACAUACAUUAUCAUCACUUUAUCCGUUUUAGUAUUCUUUCAUGCAAAUAUGUUUUUCUUUUCUGAGAUAAGACAGCAAUUAUUUCAAAGUAUAUGUUGACUGUGAGUAGCCACUCGCUGCACCAACUGCAUCACAAUAUCGCAUUUAGCUGCACCCGCACAGAUAUAACAUGUCUAUGUUGCACCAUUUAUGCCUGGAAAGCGAUGCAUUUAUUUAUGUUUUCUUAUCAAACUGAAAGCAUGAAAAACUGCAGCUCACCUAUUUAAACAUUCAUUAUGCAAUACUAGUUUUAAGUGUUAAAUUGUUUAUUACGAUUUAUUAUUUAUGACGCCUUUGAAAAUUGAGGGACGGUCGGCAGAAGAGUUUUUUUCUACCAAAGUAUAUUCUAUGUAUUUUGAAAGAAAACGUGAACUAUGUUCCCGCUAGCUAGAGUCUUCCUUUAUCGGUAAUUAUUAUAAUUUCUCGUACAAGUGCACUAGUCUAAAGGGUUAUUUCGUUGUAAGCCUAAGGACUGCCGUGGUGUUCGUGUUGUAAAUUGUUUCCGUGUGCAUUAUGUAUGUUUUUGAACAUAGAUAAUACAAAUCUCAAAUUGUUUUUAUUACUGUACUUUUAUUUUCACUGUAAAUACAUGUAAUGUUAAGGGAUAAAGUAUAUGUAUAAUAACAGAAUAUAAAUUCACUCAACAUC